UUCGGAGAACGGGAGGUCACGGAGUGCCAACCGGAGUAAAACUUCGAAUUGAGCAAAUUAAAGUGAUCACAACCGGCGUUUGAGGAUACCCGAGAUUCGUCUCUUCGAGAUGGAAGGCCUCCGCCACCAAACGGAUUCCAAAUCGGGAGUUCACAACGAGCCUUACGCGCCGUUGAAGUUGGGCGUAGAUCCACGCCCCCCCCCCCAACCCCACGCGCGCCAGGGUAGAAGACGCUGGAUUUCACGCACCACGCGGCCCGGCAGGGCUCAGAGACGGUCCAGCAGCCCCCCGCACGCGCCGUAACGCGCAUCCCACGCGCCCCACCCGUUGCACCGCGCCAGGAGAGUGGUAGCCACUUCGCAGCGACGCGAAAGCAAGCGCGCUGCACGCGCUCCGCAUGCGCCAGGCGAGUGGCGGCAAGCCGGAACCACGCCGGCACGCGCCCAGCCAGUCUCCCCAGUCUCCCGAGCCGAGCUGCGUGAGCCGAGUCGCACAUGCGCGCCGCGUCAGAGCCGAGCUGGAGCUGAGCCGAUCCGCGAGCCGCACCGAUCCGAAGCCGUUGACAGUCAACCCGAGUCGUUGACAGUCCACACCAGGCCAUGACCAGACGUUGACCGUGACCAGUUCAAUCGAAAAUGCAUUUCCCCUGGAUUCUAUUACUUACAGAUUGGUCCCGAAGUUUGGGAAAUUUAAAUUAGUCCCUGAAGUUUUAAUUUAAUUCAAUUGGGUCCAAGAAGGAGUCUGAUUUCGACGGAAAAGCCCUUUAUUGAGUUUUAUGGCAUUAUGGAAUUCAUCGCGAGGUCAAGUUCUGAUAUUUUGCCUUUUUAUUUAAGAGAAGUAAGAUGCCAGAGAUAAUUGGGAGCUAGAUGAUGCUUUCAGCAUAACAAAUUACGCCCUAUGGGGAAAACCGAGGAGGGAAAGACAUUCCUAUUCUGAAAGUUUGCAUGAUCUUUGAAGAAUUAAGGAGAGGAAAACAUACAGAGAAGAAGGAUGAGGAAUGGACAAAGAUGAACAGAAAAACGAUCGAGCUAAUCAGACAGUUGCCAUGGAAACGAAGUGUUCCACCAUGUAGCACAAAGGACGGGUGCUUACGGAUCUAUGGACCAAAUUGGGAGAAGAUUAUCAGGCAAAGACAUCUAGAACAAGGACUUAUUGAUGAGGAGGGCCUUUUGAAUACUGAAACUUCAGAAGGGACUGUGGCGGAACAUACGAGUGAGUUCCAGCAUUUGGUCAACCCGUUGGCCAGUAUAUACCAUCCAUUUUGACGAGAAUGCAAGGCUCUACUGCGUCUGAUUUCUUUAUACCCUAGAGAGUUAGAAGACAUUAGUGUUUCUCUCAGCAAUUCCGUGCAGGAUGGGAAGUUUGACUAUGAGACAGUCAAGAUGCCAUAAUUCAAUGAAGAGGCACGAGGAAGAGAUGGGCAUGACAAAAAGCGAAGUGAGUCGCAGGCCCUCAUCUCAGACAGAAGCAGGGAAGAGGUCGAGGCAUCACAGGAAUAAUGGGAGAGGACGGCCGAGGCCAUAAUCAAGAUGUUUCCGCAGUUUUAAAAGUAUUUUUUCCUGUGAGCAAAAUGCGCAUAUCAGGAGAAUUGCCCAAAGUAUAAAACACAUAUGCAGUCUUCAUAGACAGCAUCAGAUCGGCAUCAGUGAUGACGAUUCAGUAAUGAUGCGGUUUAGUAUAAUCGGCACGAGCGAUGAGAAUCCAGAUGGGUUAUGGAUUCAGGAAGUGCCUACCAUUUUUGUAGAGAAAGGAAGAUGUUCUACCAUACGAGACAUGCGAGAGACUUGUACGGAGGCGAAAAAACUGUUGUUUGCAAGGGAACAGUCCGAUUUUGCAUGGGACGACGGGAGGUCUGUGUGACGUGACCAGGAGGGUACGGCAGUUCCCCAAACUACGGAAAAAUCUGAUUUCCAGCGGAAUUCUAGAUCAAUGGUUUGCAGCUUGUGCUAAGGGAGCAAGAAAUAUUGAGAAUUUCCAAAGGAAACAAAAGAGAUGAUGAGGGAAGAAAGGGACAAGAGGACUAUAUCGACUGGAGGGGGCUGUCCGAACAGGAAGAGCGCUAUCCGAUAUGGGUUUCCAGUGAUAUAAGACGAAAGAGAAUGGACAAGGGAAAGCAAAAGGUGAACACAAGCACACAAGCAAGAGCAGGGACACCUGGAGGAGCCAGCGUGGACAAGAGCGCAAGGAAGAGGCUUUGAGACACGUGCGAAAAGUCUGAUCAGGGACAAGACCGGUGCGACCAGUGCAGGAUGUCCAGAGAAAGUCCAGAGGAAGGAGACAAGUCGAUUUUGGAAGAAUUAUUAAAUCGACAGGCGUUUGACGUCGCCGAAACGAGGUCUCUUCGCUUCGAUUUGAUUAGUGGAGUGAUCUCUUCAAAGGUGUACACAAGGAGGAGGAGAGGGAAGCCACGAGACUCGCAAAGUGAUAGACUUUGCGGAAGCUAUCCGGUGAGGGAGAGCAAGGCACUUAAGGAGAAGGUGCAGGCACUUCAGUCUGGAA
rnacentral:lncRNA from 1 species